UGCAGUCGAGCGACAGAAGGGAGCUUGCUCCCGGAUGUUAGCGGCGGACGGGUGAGUAACACGUGGGUAACCUGCCUGUAAGACUGGGAUAACUCCGGGAAACCGGAGCUAAUACCGGAUAGUUCCUUGAACCGCAUGGUUCAAGGAUGAAAGACGGUUUCGGCUGUCACUUACAGAUGGACCCGCGGCGCAUUAGCUAGUUGGUGGGGUAAUGGCUCACCAAGGCGACGAUGCGUAGCCGACCUGAGAGGGUGAUCGGCCACACUGGGACUGAGACACGGCCCAGACUCCUACGGGAGGCAGCAGUAGGGAAUCUUCCGCAAUGGACGAAAGUCUGACGGAGCAACGCCGCGUGAGUGAUGAAGGUUUUCGGAUCGUAAAGCUCUGUUGUUAGGGAAGAACAAGUGCGAGAGUAACUGCUCGCACCUUGACGGUACCUAACCAGAAAGCCACGGCUAACUACGUGCCAGCAGCCGCGGUAAUACGUAGGUGGCAAGCGUUGUCCGGAAUUAUUGGGCGUAAAGGGCUCGCAGGCGGUUUCUUAAGUCUGAUGUGAAAGCCCCCGGCUCAACCGGGGAGGGUCAUUGGAAACUGGGAAACUUGAGUGCAGAAGAGGAGAGUGGAAUUCCACGUGUAGCGGUGAAAUGCGUAGAGAUGUGGAGGAACACCAGUGGCGAAGGCGACUCUCUGGUCUGUAACUGACGCUGAGGAGCGAAAGCGUGGGGAGCGAACAGGAUUAGAUACCCUGGUAGUCCACGCCGUAAACGAUGAGUGCUAAGUGUUAGGGGGUUUCCGCCCCUUAGUGCUGCAGCUAACGCAUUAAGCACUCCGCCUGGGGAGUACGGUCGCAAGACUGAAACUCAAAGGAAUUGACGGGGGCCCGCACAAGCGGUGGAGCAUGUGGUUUAAUUCGAAGCAACGCGAAGAACCUUACCAGGUCUUGACAUCCUCUGACAACCCUAGAGAUAGGGCUUUCCCUUCGGGGACAGAGUGACAGGUGGUGCAUGGUUGUCGUCAGCUCGUGUCGUGAGAUGUUGGGUUAAGUCCCGCAACGAGCGCAACCCUUGAUCUUAGUUGCCAGCAUUUAGUUGGGCACUCUAAGGUGACUGCCGGUGACAAACCGGAGGAAGGUGGGGAUGACGUCAAAUCAUCAUGCCCCUUAUGACCUGGGCUACACACGUGCUACAAUGG
rnacentral:rRNA from 1 species